rnacentral:rRNA from 1 species
AGCGAACGCUGGCGGCAGGCCUAACACAUGCAAGUCGAACGAAGUCUUCGGACUUAGUGGCGGACGGGUGAGUAACACGUGGGAACGUGCCUUUAGGCUCGGAAUAACUCAGGGAAACUUGUGCUAAUAACGAAUGUGCCCUUCGGGGGAAAGAUUUAUCGCCUUUAGAGCGGCCCGCGUCUGAUUAGCUAGUUGGUGAGGUAAAGGUUCACCAAGGCGACGAUCAGUAGCUGGGCUGAGAGGAUGAUCAGCCACAUUGGGACUGAGACACUGCCCAAACUCCUACGGGAGGCAGCAGUGGGGAAUCUUGCGCAAUGGGCGAAAGCCUGACGCAGCCAUGCCGCGUGAAUGAUGAAGGUCUUAGGAUUGUAAAAUUCUUUCACCGGGGACGAUAAUGACGGUACCCGGAGAAGAAGCCCCGGCUAACUUCGUGCCAGCAGCCGCAGUAAUAC